GUUACUGUGAUUUGUGGUUUUUAUCUUAUCAAUUACUAUCUUGCCCCUAAUUAAAAUUUAUUUAUCAACGGAAAUUGUGGUUUUCAUGUCUCAUCCUGUUGUUCAACCCAACUUUAUAUAAAGACGUUCAUGUACAUGGUAUUUCGAGUAGUGUCUAGUCAAACGUAGUGUAGUCGAAAAACUGUCUUAAUAAAUAUAUAUAUAAUGUCGUUGUAAUGUCGUUACCAAAUAUUGAAUUUCGAUUAACUACACUAGAACUUGAAGAAUUCUUAAGCAGUGUAUAUGACCUCAAAGAAAAAAUAAUUCUCCAAAAAGUAUGGAAGACGUUAGCAAAUUUUAAUUCAAAUGGACGGAAAUCUUUUUUGAGUGGAGGAUACGCAGCAUUCAUAAAAGGCUACACAACAGCGUAUACAGACGUGGAUAUUUAUAUAGAAGGUAAUCCACGUAAAGAAGAGAUCACUGAUCUCACAAAAUACUAUAACAUAAACAAUUCGAAUAUUAUCACAUAUUUCGAAAUGGAGACGUCGAAUCUAAAUAUCUUAUUUAAUUUUAUAUACGUAAAGCGACCUUGGGAUAAUAUCAUAAUAAAUGCUCUGCAGAUAAUUAGUGAAUUUGAUAUAAAUAUAUGUAAAAUCGCAUAUUUUCCAAUCGAAAUCAACGGAGGGUUAAAAAUACAAUUAGUUGAAAUGGUAUUAUCCAGUAAAGAUUUAUCAUUUCAAAAAGCAAAAACGGCAGAACGGGCUCUAAAAUAUGAACUACGAUUAAAAGAAAAUAUAUCAGAAAAACUGCUUGCUAUACAGAAAUCGAUUAAUUCAAAUCCAAAAAUAUAUAUAAAUUUGAAAGAAAACGCUACUGUAGAAGACAAAGAUGCUAUGUUCCGAAGAUUAAAAAGCCACUUUGAAAAAAAAUAAAUCAACUUCUUUUCAGGAUACGUAAGUUUUUAUCUUAUCUACUGACGGACUGAUGAAUUGCGUAUCAUUAACAUCAUCAUCUACAAGCCUACCAUUAGGACUGGAAUCAUCGCCAAUAGGGGAGGACCACUGCGCUUAACAUCAUCAACAGGAUUCAGGUUUUAGGACAGAGCACGAUCUCCAGAAGUCCAAAAAUCCACACCACUGUUGUUAGAUGUCGUCAUAAUCUUUUUUUAACUUUAUUAUUAUUAGCCAGUCUAAAAACAAAAAGUCAAGCCGAAGGUUAUUGGGAGGUUGUUAGGGGAAAAUCCUAGACACAGACCAGAUCACCUCUCUCAACCCCCCGCAAAAAAACCUUCGGCUUGACAAAAAAAAAACCUACCUAUACCUACCUCGUUUGUACCGUAUGUAAAUAUAUGAUAUAUUGUAUGUUAUUUUGUUUUAAUAUAUUAUUUUUAAAAUACUCUUAUUAAUGUAAAAUAUUAUUUUAUAAAUACAUAAUAUGUUACAUA